ensembl:snoRNA SNORD42 Small nucleolar RNA SNORD42
GAGCAAAUGAUGUAAAUGUUUCUGACUGAAUCAAUGAUGCAUUCAAAGGAACCACUGAUGCUA